UCCCUGGUAGUAUAUCGGUUAGUACACGCGCCUGUCAUGUACAAACUCGUCUCAAACGCGCGAAAGCUGGGUUCGACUCCCAGCCAGGGAG